GAUGAACGCUGGCGGCGUGCCUAAUACAUGCAAGUCGAGCGAACAGACGAGGAGCUUGCUCCUCUGACGUUAGCGGCGGACGGGUGAGUAACACGUGGAUAACCUACCUAUAAGACUGGGAUAACUUCGGGAAACCGGAGCUAAUACCGGAUAAUAUAUUGAACCGCAUGGAUCAAUAGUGAAAGACGGUUUUGCCGUCACUUAUAGAUGGAUCCGCGCCGCAUUAGCUAGUUGGUAAGGUAACGGCUUACCAAGGCAACGAUGCGUAGCCGACCUGAGAGGGUGAUCAGCCACACUGGAACUGAGACACGGUCCAGACUCCUACGGGAGGCAGCAGUAGGGAAUCUUCCGCAAUGGGCGAAAGCCUGACGGAGCAACGCCGCGUGAGUGAUGAAGGUCUUCGGAUCGUAAAACUCUGUUAUUAGGGAAGAACAAAUGUGUAAGUAACUAUGCACGUCUUGACGGUACCUAAUCAGAAAGCCACGGCUAACUACGUG
rnacentral:rRNA from 1 species